UGUUGGUUAGGCUUAAGAAAUGCAUACUGUUGUUUGUUGAUAGUGUUGCUUGCUUUAAUAUGGAUGGAUGGGGCUACUGAAUUGUAGUGUUAUUAUGCAUAUUGUUGAUACUGUUGCCUGUUGUCUGUUGUUUGUUGAUGUGUUUUGUGUUGUUGGUUAGGCUUAAGAAAUGCAUACCGUUGUUUGUUGAUAGUGUUAUUAUGGAUAUUGUAGGGAAAAU
rnacentral:lncRNA from 1 species